rnacentral:lncRNA from 1 species
GUGAUAGCGCUGGGCGACUCCGCGGAGCUGCACGGCCAUGGACGUGGGCGCCGACGAGUUCGAGGAGAGCCUCCCUCUGCUGCAGGAGCUCGUCCAGGAGGCCGACUUCGUGGAGGUGAGCGCGGGUGCCUUGGCCGCCUGCAGAUCUACAGUGUGAGGAGUGCUGGCGAUGUUCUGCACCCGAGGACUGCUAUUUUUUGCCUUCCUGGCAGGUCUGGACAUAGAGUUCACGGGCCUUCGUUCUAACCUGUCUGGGCCCCAGCAGAUCAGGAUUGUCUGUGUUUUCCGCUAUUGAAGGAGAGGCAAACAAGUAUAUAGCCCAUUCUUGUAACUUCUAUCUCUUCCCUACAACGUUUGGGAUUUUGGACUCAGAAUUCUCCUUCCAGGCUUCCAGUGUUCAGUUUUUGAAUCAGUAUGGCUUCAACUAUAACAAGUUUCUCAAAAACGGAAUCCCAUAUAUGAAUGAAGAACAGGAGAAGAAAAUUAGACACGAUAUCCUGACUGGGAACUGGAGAGUUCGCAGCUCUCCGGAUAAAGACCAAAUCAAGGUGGUGAUUGACGAAGUGACGCGGUGGCUG